AGAGUGAACGCUGGCGGUAGGCCUAACACAUGCAAGUCGAACGGCAGCACAGUGGUAGCAAUACCAUGGGUGGCGAGUGGCGGACGGGUGAGGAAUACAUCGGAAUCUACCUUUUCGUGGGGGAUAACGUAGGGAAACUUACGCUAAUACCGCAUACGCCCUUCGGGGGAAAGCCGGGGAUCGCAAGACCUGGCGCGGAUAGAUGAGCCGAUGUCGGAUUAGCUAGUUGGUGAGGUAAUGGCUCACCAAGGCGACGAUCCGUAGCUGGUCUGAGAGGAUGAUCAGCCACACUGGAACUGAGACACGGUCCAGACUCCGUAGGGAGCAGCAGGUGGGAAUAGUGGACAAGUGGGCACAAGCCUGACUCCAGCCAGUACCGCGGUGGGUAGAA
rnacentral:rRNA from 1 species